rnacentral:lncRNA from 1 species
UUGUUGCAGAAGGAAAACCUUCAAGAUGUUUUCCGUAAGGUGGAAAUGCCCUCUCAGUACUGCUUGGCCUUGCUAGAACUAAAUGGAAUUGGCUUUAGUACUGCAGAAUGUGAAAGUCAGAAACAUAUAAUGCAAGCCAAGCUGGAUGCAAUUGAGACCCAGGCCUAUCAACUAGCUGGCCACAGUUUUUCUUUCACCAGUUCAGAUGACAUCGCUGAGGACGAAUAACCUUUACAGAACCAAAUAUUCAGAAUGUGCCAAGAGAUUUUGAAAUCAAAAUGCCAACACUAGUAGGAGAAAGCCCACCUUCUCAAGCUGUAGGCAAAGGCCUACUUCCCAUGGGCAGAGGAAAAUAUAAGAAGGGUUUCAGCGUGAAUCCUAGAUGCCAGGCACAGAUGGAGGAGAGAGCUGCAGACAGAGGAAUGCCAUUUUCAAUUAGCAUGCGACAUGCCUUUGUGCCUUUCCCAGAUUUGCUAUGGGAUCAUUUAUGGAAUGGGAGCUAAAUCUUUGGGAGAGCAGAUGGGCAUUAAAGAAAAUGAUGCUGCAUGCUAUAUUGACUCCUUCAAAUCCAGAUACACAGGGAUUAAUCAAUUCAUGACAGAGACAGUGAAGA